rnacentral:miRNA from 1 species
AGGUGGCUGGAUGGUGAUUCUCU